AAACCAACAGGGAUUACCUCAGUAACGGCGAGUGAAGCGGUAACAGCUCAAAUUUGAAAUCUGGGUCUUUCAGGCUCCGAGUUGUAAUUUGUAGAAGAUGCUUCGGGUGCGGCUCCGGUCUAAGUUCCUUGGAACAGGACGUCAUAGAGGGUGAGAAUCCCGUAUGUGAUCGGCUGCUUGCGCCCAUGUGAAGCUCUUUCGACGAGUCGAGUUGUUUGGGAAUGCAGCUCAAAAUGGGUGGUAAAUUUCAUCUAAAGCUAAAUAUUGGCCAGAGACCGAUAGCGCACAAGUAGAGUGAUCGAAAGAUGAAAAGCACUUUGGAAAGAGAGUUAAACAGUACGUGAAAUUGUUGAAAGGGAAGCGCUUGCAACCAGACUUGCGCGUUGCCGAUCAUCCGGGGUUCUCCCCGGUGCACUCGGCCUCGCUCAGGCCAGCAUCGGUUUUGGUGGUGGGAUAAAGGCCUUGGGAAUGUAGCUCCUUUCGGGGAGUGUUAUAGCCCUCGGUGCAAUGCCGCCUACCGGGACCGAGGACCGCGCUUCGGCUAGGAUGCUGGCGUAAUGGUUGUAAGCGAC
rnacentral:rRNA from 1 species